rnacentral:rRNA from 1 species
AACGAACGCUGGCGGCAGGCCUAACACAUGCAAGUCGAGCGGACCCUUCGGGGUUAGCGGCGGACGGGUGAGUAACGCGUGGGAAUAUGCCCUUCUCUACGGAAUAGUCCUGGGAAACUGGGGGUAAUACCGUAUACGCCCUUUGGGGGAAAGAUUUAUCGGGGAAGGAUUAGCCCGCGUUGGAUUAGGUAGUUGGUGGGGUAAUGGCCUACCAAGCCGACGAUCCAUAGCUGGUUUGAGAGGAUGAUCAGCCACACUGGGACUGAGACACGGCCCAGACUCCUACGGGAGGCAGCAGUGGGGAAUCUUAGACAAUGGGGGCAACCCUGAUCUAGCCAUGCCGCGUGAGUGAUGAAGGCCUUAGGGUUGUAAAGCUCUUUCAGCUGGGAAGAUAAUGACGGUACCAGCAGAAGAAGCCCCGGCUAACUCCGUGC